rnacentral:rRNA from 1 species
GAUCAUGGCUCAGGACGAACGCUGGCGGCGUGCUUAACACAUGCAAGUCGAACGAGAGUCUACGGAUCGAGGAUUCGUCCAAGUGAAGUAGAGGACAGUGGCGGACGGGUGAGUAACGCGUGAGGAACCUGCCUUUCAGAGGGGGACAACAGUUGGAAACGACUGCUAAUACCGCAUGACACAUUGGGCUCGCAUGGCCCUGAUGUCAAAGAUUUAUCGCUGAAAGAUGG